ensembl:misc_RNA RN7SL259P RNA, 7SL, cytoplasmic 259, pseudogene
GCCAGGCCUCUAGUCCCAGCUACUUGGGAGGCUGAGACAGGAGGAUCUCUUGGGCCCAGGAGUUCUAAGCACUAUGCUGAUGGGGUGUCUGCACUAAGCUCGGCAUGAUGACCUCCUCCAAGCAGGGGACCACCAGGUUGCCUAAGGAGGGAUGAACUGCCCCAGGUCAGAAACAGAGCUGAUCAGUAGUGGGAUCACACCUGUGAACAGCCACUGCUCUCCAGCAUGGGCAGCACAGCAAGACCCUGUCUCU